UCUGUUCUUCAGACAUUUGUGAUGGCUAAA
rnacentral:piRNA from 1 species